rnacentral:rRNA from 1 species
AUUGAACGCUGGCGGCAUGCCUUACACAUGCAAGUCGAACGGCAGCGCGGGGCAACCUGGCGGCGAGUGGCGAACGGGUGAGUAAUAUAUCGGAACAUACCCUAGAGUGGGGGAUAACGUAGCGAAAGUUACGCUAAUACCGCAUACGCACUAAGGUGGAAAGUGGGGGAUCUUCGGACCUCAUGCUCAUGGAGUGGCCGAUAUCUGAUUAGCUAGUUGGUGAGGUAAAGGCUCACCAAGGCGACGAUCAGUAGCUGGUUUGAGAGAACGACCAGCCACACUGGAACUGAGACACGGUCCAGACUCCUACGGGAGGCAGCAGUGGGGAAUUUUGGACAAUGGGGGCAACCCUGAUCCAGCAAUGCCGCGUGAGUGAAGAAGGCCUUCGGGUUGUAAAGACUCUUUGUCUAGGGAGAAACGGUGAGUCUAAUAAAGACUUGCUAAUGACGGUACCUGAAGAAUAAGCACCGGCGUAACUACGUGCCAGCAGCCGCGGUAAU